rnacentral:rRNA from 1 species
UACGUAGGGUGCAAGCGUUGUCCGGAAUUAUUGGGCGUAAAGAGCUCGUAGGCGGUUUGUCGCGUCCGCUGUGAAAAUCCAGGGCUUAACCCUGGACCUGCAGUGGGUACGGGCAGACUAGAGUGCGGUAGGGGAGAUCGGAAUUCCUGGUGUAGCGGUGAAAUGCGCAGAUAUCAGGAGGAACACCGAUGGCGAAGGCAGGUCUCUGGGCCACUACUGACGUGAGACGCGAAAGCGUGGGGAGCGAACAGG